ensembl:snRNA U2 U2 spliceosomal RNA
GUUGGUUGGUUUGCUUUUUGGCUACGAUCAAGUAUGGUAUCUGUUCUUAUCUUUGUACUACCCAAAACAUCCUCUGAGAACAAUACAUCAAACAAAUUUUUGGAGCUGGGAGAUGAAAUAGGAGCUUACUCCAUCCACCCACAGACUAACCUGAUAUUACAGUACCUUCAGGAAUGAUGCACAUACU